GGAGGGCGCAAGCGUUGUUCGGAAUUACUGGGCGUAAAGCGCACGCAGGCGGUCCCUUAAGUCCUCUGUGAAAUUCCGGGGCUCAACCCCGGAGGUGCAGGGGAAACUGUGGGACUGGAGACCGGUAGAGGCUAGCGGAAUUCCUGGUGUAGCGGUGGAAUGCGUAGAUAUCAGGAGGAACACCGGUGGCGAAGGCGGCUAGCUGGGCCGGUUCUGACGCUCAUGUGCGAAAGCGUGGGGAGCAAACAGGAUUAGAUACCCUGGUAGUCCACGCCGUAAACGAUGGGCACUAGAUGCCCGGGCCCUUUCGACAGGCUCGGUGUCGCAGCUAACGCAUUAAGUGCCCCGCCUGGGGAGUACGGUCGCAAGGCUA
rnacentral:rRNA from 1 species